rnacentral:rRNA from 1 species
GACAGAGGGUGCAAACGUUGCUCGGAAUCACUGGGCGUAAAGCGCACGUAGGCGGCUUCUUAAGUCAGGGGUGAAAUCCUGGAGCUCAACUCCAGAACUGCCUUUGAUACUGAGGACCUUGAGUCCGGGAGAGGUGAGUGGAACUGCGAGUGUAGAGGUGAAAUUCGUAGAUAUUCGCAAGAACACCAGUGGCGAAGGCGGCUCACUGGCCCGGUACUGACGCUGAGGUGCGAAAGCGUGGGGAGCAAACAG